rnacentral:rRNA from 1 species
AUUGAACGCUGGCGGCAGGCCUAACACAUGCAAGUCGAGCGGAGCGGCGGACGGGUGAGUAAUGCCUAGGAAUCUGCCUGGUAGUGGGGGAGAACGUCAGGAAACGGGCGCUAAUACCGCAUACUAUCAUCUGAGCCUAGGUCGGAUUAGCGAGAUGGUGGGGUAAAGGCCUACCAAGGCAACGAUCCGUAACUGGUCUGAGAGGAUGAUCAGCCAAACUGGAACUGAGACACGGCCCAGACUCCUACGGGAGGCAGCAGUGGGGAAUUUUGGACAAUGGGGGAAACCCUGAUCCAGCCAUCCCGCGUGUAUGAAGAAGGCCUUCGGGUUGUAAAGCACUUUUAGCAGGGAAGCGGUACCUGCAGAAUAAGCACCGGCUAACUACGUGCCAGCAGCCGCGGUAAUUC